AUCGAUCGAGCUGGAAGCAGCUUUCCCACAAAGUACAGUAGCAGGUCAAGGCAGGUAUACAGACAUGAUCGAUUUUACAUGAUGGCGCACGCUUGGGGAUUUUCUUCACCGAAACAAUCGGGGCGUGUCAUGCAGUAACUACUAGUGGCAUAGCUCCUCCCACCGCCGUAACUAUCAUACACUGGCCCACCGUAACCAUACCCAGUUUGGCAGGGACCACCCGGAUGCCCUCCGUAACAAUCCAUACAACACUCGCUCACCGUCACCGGAGGGUAAGCCGGAACCAGAAACAGAACCGGCUCUUCCUUCGGCUUCUCUGCCUUCUUGGGUUCGUCUUUAGGCCUUUCAGCCUCCUUCGGUGUCCCUUUAGGCUUGUCAGCAUCUAUUGGUUUCUUUUUAGGCUCCUCUUUCUUCUUCUCCUCUGGUUUCGCUUUAGGCUUCUCCUCCUUUGGUUUCUCUUUGGGCUUCUCGGGCUCUUUGAUGUCGAUGCUCUUGAUGGCGCCACCUCCUUUGCAGCAUAGCUUGUCUCUGAUCUUCUCAGGACUGCAGCAGACCACCUUGAUGAUCACCUGGUUGUUCUUCUCGUCGUACGUCUGGUCUCGUAUUUCUCUUGUUCACAAAAUCCAACCAAUACCAGAAACCACACUCAAUUUACGUUUUUUUGUUUUCUCUGCUAAAAUACACAACGUACCAGAAUGGAAGAGAAAAGAAGAAACUCACGAGGGAAUUUACAGAGAACUUUCUUAACCUUCUUGUAGCAUUUUUCACACUGAAGGUCCACCUUCAGAACCAUUAUCGUCACCUGAUGACAUUAAUACAAUCAUUUUUGCAGAAAUUAGAUAGGUAUAGAGAAUGGUUAAUUACUUCUUCUUCUUUUUUAUGUAGAAGAAGAAGUGAGUAAUUAAGAAUGGAUCGAAGAUGAUUUGAAGAUCGAUGAGGAAUCGAAUCGAUCUCUGUGUUUCUGACAGAAGAAUGAUGAGUCGGGUAUAGGCGACAAAUUGAAGAAGAAAGAGCCAAAAGCUUGAGAAUUAAAAAGUGAGGAGCAGCAGCCACAAAAAAUAAAAAUUGAGAGGAGCAGAUUUGAUGCAAUGGGCAAUCAAUCUACUUAUCUAUAUGAUGAGGAAAAAGAGCUGGAAAAGCAUAAACAACUUUCUAGUAGCUAAUGUUAAGAAAGAAAUACCUUUUUUUCCCCCAUUGUUGCAGCAGUGAGAUGGGAUCUGAUGUUCUUUGUGAACGGAACCUCCCAGCUAAAAUGAUUGAAUAGGACGGGAGUCAGUGACCCGAGUUGGCAUAUAAAUUGAGCAGCUGGCGGNNNNNNNNNNNNNNNNNNNNNNNNNNNNNNNNNNNNNNNNNNNNNNNNNNNNNNNNNNNNNNNNNNNNNNNNNNNNNNNNNNNNNNNNNNNNNNNNNNNNNNNNNNNNNNNNNNNNNNNNNNNNNNNNNNNNNNNNNNNCUCUCUCUCUCUCUCUCUCUCUCUCUCUCUCUGAUCUGAAACUUUUCCUCUCUCUCUUUCACCGAUGCCACCCUCCUUCGCCGAUGCCAUCCCACCCGCCGCUUCAUCUCCGGCUCCGACGAGGUCCGGGAGCUGCCGGAAAACGACUGCAAGAUCUGAACGAUCGCAUCCACCAAGACCCGAGGGGCCGGGCUCGUCAUUCUCAUCGACGACAUCCACUUCGGUCAAGUCCAGUGAGCCCGUCGUUGUCGCCGCCGUCGGUCAACAUCUGCACCGUUUCACAUUGGCGCUGCCUCGAGGAUCCGCGACCGAGAUGUUACCAUCGAGAUAGGACGACUCCGGAGAAGCGUUGCGCUACUACGAGUCCGAAGAGCAGCGUUCUGGUCGUUCUCCAACGUCGUCUGCACACCGUCGCUUGGAAACGUCGAUGCGAGCUGAGCUUGACGAGGCCGACGAAGAUGGAGUCGGGAGGGAAGGUGGAGGCGGCGCCAGGGAGAGGAGGCUUGGUGUUGGUGGAUUUGGAGCGGAGGAGCUCGGUGAGGACGGUCAGGAUGCGCUUGGAGUCCACGUGGACGGUGAAGAGGUUGGGGACGUUGGCGGGGUAGGCGCGGAUGACCUCCGGCUGAUCAAUCUCCUCGAUUGAAAUCCCUCAAAACUUAGGCAGGUGCAUGGCUUUGACUAGUUUUUCUCUCUAUUUUUAUGAGAUGAGAAUUUGAGAAAAGAGGAAGGGUGAAUAGGAAAAGGGACGGUGGAAUAUUGAACGUUGACGAUGUUUAUUAGUCCAGUUGUUUUGUUUUCUGAGUCCUUUCGAACUUAAAAAUGUAUGUUUAAAAUGAUUAUUGACUGACAGUAACUGAUUAUUGGGGGUCAGUAACUGAUUAUGUUCUAAUAUUUCUUUUUUCUAGUAUUAUUAAGCUGAAAUAAGUUGAUUAUUGGGGGUCAGUAAUUGAUUAUUAGAGGUUAGUAACACGAUUAUUAGGGGUCAGUAACUGGUUAUUGGGGUCAGUAACUGGUUACUGGGUGUCAGUAACUAACUGGUUACUGGGUGUCAGUAACUGGUUAUUAGGUGUCAGUAACUGGUUACUAGGUGUCAGUAACUGGUCAGUUAGUGGUUACUGGGUGUCAGUAACUAGUUAUUGGGGGUUAGUAACUGAUUAUUAUGAGUCAUUAACUUGUCAGUAACUGGUUAUUGGGAGUCAGUAACUAGUUACAGGGGAAAUUCCGGAGUCCGGCGAUCGAGGAAAUUCUGGUGACCGGAGUCCGGCGGUCGGGGAAAUUCCAGUGACCGGAGUCCGGCGGCCGGUGACCAGAGUCCGGUGAGAUUCCGGCCAAGUAUUCUCUCUUUUAUUUUCUCUCUCUAUGCAUAUGUAAGAGGUGAGGGCAAAAUAGUCUUAAAAUAAUAUGGUUAAUUUGUUAAGACUUUAGUAAAUAUUUGUGUAUUUUGGCAUAAAGAUUUGUGCAUUUGGACAUAAAAAAAUGCAUCUUAUAUUGAAAUGGGCUAAUGAAAAAGAUUUUCAUUGGAAUAAAAAUAAAAAUUUAAAUUAGUACUAAAUUGACAUUCUAAUGCAAUAGAAUGGUCUGAAUGUGGAGGAUGGACCAAAUUAAUACCGCAGUAAUAUGAUUAGGGUGUCAUUCACCCGGCCACAUCUUGUUGUUUUCGAUUCAAGUAUCAAGCACCCACAUGGCACAUGGAGCAUCCCACAACUGUCCCCGGCGCUAGUAGUUGCCACCGUCCAUCUUCGGACUAGCAAAUUGUUAUGGAUCAUUCUCCUUACCAUGAUCCACGACGUAUUACCAAGAAUACAUGAUAAGCCAUUGUUUCCCCCUUUCUUUUGCGUCUGUGACUAUCAGGACCGGGAGAGAUGAGGUUUAUUGGUCUAUGGUGUGGUGAGGGUACGGUACAUGGUUCGUUAUGGUGUUUCCUGCCUAUCCACCGUUGCAUAUGUGCGAUCGGCGUAUGAAUUUAGGUUAUAUAUAUAUAUAUUUUUUUUUUUCAUUUUAAAUGGUGGGCCUCGCAGCCAACAAAUGCCCGUCACACAUUAACCGUUAGCCCUGUAUGGUCUCCGCCUGGCCCAUAUAAAUAAUUUGUUUUUUAUAUUCUUUUUCUUUCUUUUUUAAAUGGUGGACCCCGCAUUUUGCGUGUAGCGAACCGCCUAGCCCCAAAUGAUCUCCGCCUAAUCCAUAUAAAUUAUUUUUCGUUUAUAUUUUUUUUCCUCUUAAAAUCUGGGAAGAAACCUUUAGCGGCCUUACUGUUGUUGUUGCACAGCCGACUUCUCCGUCUCCGCCACGUAAUUGGACUACGGCCAUGGUCAUAUGUCUAAACUUAACAUGUAUGUGUUGAAUUGAAGUUUCUGAGUCAGAAGGCUGUUAGAGUCAUCGAUUGCAGGUAUAUAUGGUAUAUUAUUGCCGUAUAUAUAUUGGUUGAUUGUUUAGUUUCCGAGUUGUUGUUAAGGAUCGGGUUAAAAAGAUUGAGCAUUAUAUUAUAGCUAUUUAUAGCUAUAAACAGCACAUUGCAUAUCCAUUGAUGAAUUUAUGUUAGUGAUGCAUGUUGGAAUGAAAACUGAUCGGUGUUGGCUAGUUUGGAAUGAAAACUGAUUUGGUGUUAGCAAGUUUCAAUUGAAUAAAGUUUGAAUUGCAUUUUGUAUAUUCUAGAUUAAGUUAUUAAUUGUCGCUUCUGCAUGUUGGUUUUAUUCUUGUUUUAGGACAUUUUAAUCAGGUUUCAUUUUUUGUAUAUGUUACUAUUGAAUUUGUUGUGCUAGGUUUCUUGGUUCUACUUGCUGAUGAUGAAGUUUAGGUCCUGGCAAAGUUGAUAAUUUUGUAAGCUUGUAGGUGUUUUGCCUUGUGUCAUGGUCCAUUACGAAGGGUGAUGAUCCUGCAAAUGCAGCCUUCUCGGAAGUAAGUUAAUCUCAUGAAAUUAUCUCAUCUUUUUAAUCCUUGUCAGAGCUCUAUACAUUUUUUGGUUUAAGCAUACCAGCUUGUGUUUCAAGUCAAAUUUAUUGUUUGAGAUUCAUAUCUUUUGUUUAGUCUCUGUUGUUUUACUUUUAUUCGUCUCUUUGUCCAAUUGUUAUAAGAUCCGAAAACGUUAUAUAAGAUACUAGAUUGAGAAUGUUCCAAGUUCUAAAACACCACAUAAUGUUUCGUUUCGUGCAAAGGGACCUGAGACUGGAAGUCAAGUACCAUAUGGCCUUGCAGGGGAGAGUAGUCUGGUUAAACGUGAUUGACCCAGAUUUCACUGAAAUUCUUAGGAAUGACUAGAAUCUAGUUAAACAUGCAGUUGCCCCGUUGCCCUCAUGGACCUUGUGAGAAUGUGAGUGAAAGCAGCUUCCAGUGUUCCAUUUGAGCCAUAAGUUGGGCCUUUCUGCAACGGUCACCUUGGAGGACCAUUAAGGAACCAAACAAGUGGAUCGGCCCAUUUAUGAUCUUAGCCCUAGUCUAAGCAAGAACAAUAAGAGAGAGACUUGCAUGUCAAACUAUUCACUUCUUUCAUACAUGUAUGCAUAGGAAGUAAGUAAUGGCAAACAGAUGGUAUUAUGUAGGUGAUUGUAAAUCGAACAUAAACAUAUGGUUCCAUUCAAACCGAAGGAAUAUAAUGUACAACUUUUAGUGGGCUAAUUAACACGCAUAUCAAAGUUGCUUCUCUAGCUAGUAAAAGAACUAAGAACAACGUACCCUUAUUAUACUACUCAACAGUCGUUCAUAAAUUAAACAAACUCCAGAUUUUGAGUAAUAGAAAAUGGAGUUGCAUUGGACUUGUCCUACUUCUUUGUCGGCAAUAGACGGUGUGUAUGAGUGCAAUCGCAGCAGCAUCGAAUAUUUUAACUAGUUUGUAGGCUUGGGGAUCGUUCUUUCAUGUGAAUCAAUCACACAUAUAGUUGACCUAAUUUCAUACUCGCCCACUUUUUAUACUUAGAUGCAUCCAUCGCAUGGAGAUCGAGUUGGAGACCUAGCUAGCUAGCUCAUCUUAAUUAUUGGUACCAAAUUCUUCCAACAAAUGGACAAAUAAUUCAAAAAAAUAUAUGCAUAUGUGCACAGGACAAAAUUCAUAUGCAAUUUGAUGGAACUUUUAUUUCAUUAAUGGAAUAAAGAUUGUAACAACUUCUUCUUCUUCUUCUUCUUGUAGCUAGCUCUAUAAUGGAUGGCUGGCAUGGCUAACCUGAUCGUGACAUAUCCACCACCAUCACCAUUGAUCACCAACCAUGCUUUAUUAUUUUACUUUUGUUCUAUAUAUAAAAAACAACACCAACUUUAACGUACACUGUAAAAAUGGAGACACCGAUCGAUCGAGCUGGAAGCAGUUUUCCCACAAAGUAUAGUAGAAGGUCAAGGCAGGUAUACAGAUAUGAUCGAUUUUACAUGAUGGCGCACGCUUGGGGAUUUUCUUCACUGAAACAAUCAGGGCGUGUCACGCAGUAACUACUAGUGGCGUAGCUCCUCCCACCGCCGUAACUAUCGUACACUGGCCUUCCAUAGUAGCCGUCGUACUGUAUGUAUGGUGCUGCCCCACCGUAACCGUACCCAGUUUGGCAGGGACCACCCGGAUGCCCUCCGUAACAUUCCAUACAACACGCGUUCACCGUCACCGGAGGGUAAGCAGUAACCGGAGGCUGAGUAGGCUGAGAAGGCUUCGGCUUCUCUGCGUCCUUGGGUUUCUCUUUAGGUUUUUCAGCCUCUUUAGGUUUCUCAGCCUCCUUUGGUUUCUCAGCCUCUUUUGGUUUCUCUUUAGGCUUUUCAGCCUCUUUAGGUUUCUCAGCCUCCUUUGGUUUCUCUUUAGGCUUCUCAGCCUCCUUUGGUUUCUCUUUAGGCUUCUCAGGCUCCUUGGGCUUGGGCUUCUCGGGCGGCAAGAUGUCGAUGCUCUUGAUGGCGCCACCUCCUUUGCAGCAUAGCUUGUCUCUGAUCUUCUCAGGACUGCAGCAGACCACCUUGAUGAUCACCUGGUUGUUCUUCUCGUCGUACGCCUGGUCUCGUAUUUCUCUUGUUCACAAAAUCCAACCAAUACCAGAAACCACACUCAAUUUACGUUUUUUUGUUUUCUCUGCUAAAAUACACAACGUACCAGAAUGGAAGAGAAAAGAAGAGACUCACGAGGGAAUUUACACAGAACUUUCUUAACCUUCUUGUAGCAUUUUUCACACUGAAGGUCCACCUUCAGAACCAUUAUCGUCACCUGAUGACAUUAAUACAAUCAUUUUUGCAGAAAUUAGAUAGGUAUAGAAUGGUUAAUUACUUCUUCUUCUUCUUCUUCUUUUUUUCUGCAGAAGAAGAAGUGAGUAAUUAAGAAUGGAUCGAAGAUGAUUUGAAGAUGGAUGAGGAAUUUUAUCCAUCAGGUUCUGUGUUUCUGACAGAAGAAUGAUGAGUCGGUUAUAGGCGACAAAUUGAAGAAGAAAGAGCCAAAAGCUUGAGAAUUAAAAAGUGAGGAGCAGCAGCCACAAAAAAUAAAAAUUGAGAGGAGCAGAUUUGAUGCAAUGGGCAAUCAAUCUACUUAUCUAUAUGAUGAGGAAAAAGAGCUGGAAAAGCAUAAACAACUUUCUAGUAGCUAAUGUUAAGAGAGAAAUACCUUUUUUUCCCCCAUUGUUGCAGCAGUGAGAUGGGAUCUGAUGUUCUUUGUGAACGGAACCUUCCCAGCUAAAAUGAUUGAAUAGGACGGGAGUCAGUGACCCGAGUUGGCAUAUAAAUUGAGCAGNNNNNNNNNNNNNNNNNNNNNNNNNNNNNNNNNNNNNNNNNNNNNNNNNNNNNNNNNNNNNNNNNNNNNNNNNNNNNNNNNNNNNNNNNNNNNNNNNNNNNNNNNNNNNNNNNNNNNNNNNNNNNNNNNNNNNNNNNNNNNNNNNNNNNNNNNNNNNNNNNNNNNNNNNNNNNNNNNNNNNNNNNNNNNNNNNNNNNNNNNNNNNNNNNNNNNNNNNNNNNNNNNNNNNNNNNNNNNNNNNNNNNNNNNNNNNNNNNNNNNNNNNNNNNNNNNNNNNNNNNNNNNNNNNNNNNNNNNNNNNNNNNNNNNNNNNNNNNNNNNNNNNNNNNNNNNNNNNUUUUUUUUUUUGGUCAAGAAAAAAAAAAGGGAACCAUUUAGCAAUGUUGACAUAUGCAUGGAGGUGAAACUUUCAAAAACCGCGGGCUCCAGAUAUUGACGAUUGCACGUUUCUUACACCCAGGGUCUUCGAUCUAUUACAUCUUCAUCAUGGAAAAUUAAAUUAUUAUGUUACGUACAUACAUGGAUAUGUGAUGUGGGAGUGGUUCUAAAAAUAACUAUUUAGUUGAAUAUUUUUUUAUUAAUAGUUUAUUACAUAUAUUUUUCAAUUAAUUUUUUAUCUCAACCGUUUAGUUUUUAAUAGAUCAUUUUUUUAAAUUUUCAACCAAAUUUUUGAUCGUUAAGGAAUCGAACUUAAUCAAAUCAAUUGACGAUCCUUAUCUAUUAAAUAUGAGUCGUUCAAGUUUAUAAUCGGUAAAUCACAUUUAUGAAUAUCUCAACGAUUUUAAAUUUAGAUAAAAAUUUAUAGAGAUGAUAUUUUCAUAUAUAUUUACAAAUUAGGCGGUCGAGAUGUGAACAUGUGAUUGAAAACGGAGUGAAACAAAGAAAUUUUCAAUUAGUCUUCAACUUAGUGGUCCUCGUUAGAACCACUCUCAUGUGAUACAAACAUACUUUAUUACGAGGCAAAAUUUUCCUAUCACACCAUCACCACCCUACUAGCACAUGUUCUUUUUUUCUUAGUUGUAUGUAUCAUAUACCUAUAACCUAUCUUCAUAGUAGAUAAUCCCCUUCAUCAUACAUACACGUGUUGUGUUUACACAGCUAUAUUCAAAAACUUAAUUUUAAGAUUAACCUCAUCGUCAUUCUAAUUUAAAAAUAAUAUUAUGAAAUAGCAUGUGAUCGACCUUUGGCUCUUUACUGAUGAUUGUAUUUGUGUGACUGUCUCCUCAAUUUGAUUCUUCGUCCCAUAAAAAUAAUAUAUAAGCGUAAUUAGUCUUUGUACGUAGUAUCAUCGAUCUUAUACGUACAUGGCCAUGCAUUUAUCCGUUGUAAUAUCACUGGUUAUUUGUUGAUGAGCAGACUAUAUGAUAGGUAGCUAUGUAGCAAAUUACUCAAUUCCGAGCACAAAAAUACAGCAAUCAAUUGUUUGUCUUGAUCGGUAGUCUCACUCAAUCACAUACGUAAGUGACCGGAUCACUCAUGCAUGACUCAGCUAGACCUAGAGCUGGAGGGUGGUGUCUUCAUAAGAAGUUGAAAUCUGUGAACACAGCCAUCGAAUAAAUUCAACAAAGUCCUCAGUAGUGGGCAUCGGACAACAACCUUACGCAACUUAGGCUCCAUCGAUCUCAUCAUAUAUGCUUUACAAAUAUUUCUUCUGCCGACAAUUUCACACAUUUUACAAGCCCAUAUGCCAGUCUUCUUAAAUAUAACCAAGAUAUGCCUUCCACUUAGCCCAAUGCAAUGGACCUAAUAUUAAGCCCACGCUAUAUAUGCACAAUCCGGGCCUCCCAUCUAUUCUGUACGGGAAUUAUGAUCGGUACGGUGAGUUUGAGACUCUGACCAGCAUCGUCGACGAUCCAAUGACUCGAUUCAUACACCAUUCAUGUACAAAAAACGAUACGAGUCUAUAACCAAUUUUUCAUCGAGUUUAUUGAGGCUACUGUGCACUUUGAACUCUGCACGACUCAUGCAUCUUCAAUCAUGUACGUGUAGCUAACUGAACCUGAAUCAAAUUCACACUCUUUAAAAUUAGUACUAAAUGAACAUACCUGUUCUCUUCAUUACAUAUCAGUGUAGCCGAUAUCAGCACACAUAGACAAAAGGGUGUUAUAGAGAAUUACAUUCAACUCCAUUCCCUUCUCCUUCAUCUCCUUGGCAAAGAGCCCUUGCUGAUCAUCUCUCGGUAAAUUUUCUUGGCCUGCCAAGGCCUCUUAGCUCUUCCCAUAGAAUCCAACAAAGUAUUAUAAAUAACCAUGUUCGGCUUAACCCAAAUUGCCUUCAUUUCCUCGUAAACUUUCAAGCACCCAUCAUAAUUCCCUGAUUGCCCGUGAAUCUUAAUCAACGUUGCAAAUGUCACUGGAUCAAUGCGCCAUUUCUCUGUCCUAGCGCAGUCAUACAAGCUAAAAGCCUUGUCAACAUUACCGGCACGGCCAUAUGCAUCGAUCAUAGCCGAAUAGGUAACAUCAUCAGGACUACACCCGUAACUAGGCAUCUUCUCAAACCACUCCACAGCCUUAUCAGGCAGAUAACACAUCCUAGCACAGCUAAUCAUAGUCGAAAACGUAACAUUAUCAGGUGUAACACCUCUCUCAAGCAUCUCAUUAAACAGCUUCUCUGCUCUCACUAAAUCCUUACACUUUCUAAACACUUUCAAUGUCACAUUGUAGAGAACCACUUCCCUCUUAGGUUUGAACAUGUGCUGAAAGUACUUUAGAGCAAGUAACGCAUUUUCGGGGUUACCAUGGUAUUAAGAACAACGACAGCAUCUUGUUCCAAAACCCCAUCACCUAAAGUCUUUAAAAUAUCAAAAACAUCACUUUCACUUAGGCAGACAGAGUUCAAGGACUCAGCUACUUUGACUAAAGAAGUGUACCUGGAAUCGUAGGACUUGUUCCUAAGAUGAGAAGCCCUGGGGCUGCUGGGAUUGACCCAAACAUAGCUUUUGGAGGAAGACUCGGAAUUUCCAUCGGGGUUUUCAGUUUUUGGGGUUUCUUGUAAAGAAACAUGGUUUAUUUGGAGAGAAAUUGUGGAGUGAAGAGUAGGGAAGGUGAGAUUGAAGGUGUGAGUAUCAGAGGUGGUUGGCCUGAGCUUUCUAGAGGAGGAGAGAGAGUGAGAGAGAAAGAGAGACGAGGGUGUGGAGGAUACAUGAUAAGCCAUUGUUUCCCUCUUUGUUUUGCGUCUGUGACUAUCAGGACCGAAGAGAGAGAUGAGGUUUAAUGGUCUCUGGUGUGGUGAGGGUACAUGGUUCGUUAUGGUGUUUCCUGCUUCUCCACCGUUGGAUAUAUGGGAUCGGCGUAUGAUUUUAGUUUAUAUUUGUUUUUUUUUUUCGUUUUAAAUGGUGGAUCUCGCAGCCCACAAAGGGCCGCCACACGUGGACCGCCUAGCCCUGUUUUGUCUCCGCCUAGCCCAUAGAAAUUAUUUUUUCUUUUGUAUUUUCUUUUUCUUUUUUUUAAAUCAUGGACCCCGUAUUCUGUUAAGGCCCGCUACACGUGGACCGCCUAGCGCCAUAUGGUCUCAGCCUAGCCCAUAUAAAUUACUUUUCUUUUAUAUUUUUUUUCCUCUAAAAAUCUGGGAUGAAACCUUUGGCGGCCUUGUUGUUGUUGUGUAGCCGACUUCUCCGUCUCCGCCGCGUAAUUGGACGGCAACCAUAGUCAUCUGUCUAAACAUAACAUGUAUGUGCCGAAUUGAGGUUUCUGAGUCGGAAGGUUGUUAGUCAUCGAUUGCAGGUAUAUAUGGUAUAUUACUGCCGUAUGUAUAUUGAUUGAUUUGUUUAGUUUCCGAGUUGAUUGUCAUGGAUUGGGUUAAAAAAGUUGAGCAUUAUAUUAUAGCUAUUUAUAGCUAUAAACAACACAUUGCAUAUCCAUUGAUGCAUAUAUGUUAGUGAUGUUUGAAUGAAAACUGAUUCGGUGUCGGCAAGUUUAUAAUGAAAACUGAUUUGGUGUUAGCAAGUUUCAGUUGAAUAAAGUUUGAAUUGCAUUUUGUAUAUUAUAGAUUAAGUUAUUAGUAGUCGCUUAUGCGUAUUGGUUUUAUUCUUGUUUUUGGUUUAAUCAGGUUUCAUUUUCUGUAUAUGUUACUAUUGAAUUUGUUGUGCUAGCAGGUUUCUUGGUUCUACUUGCUGAUGAUGAAGUUUAGGUAGCUGAUAAUUUUGUAAGCUUGUAGGUGUUUUGCCUUGUGUCAUGGUCCGCUGCGGAGGGUGGAUGAUCCAGCAAAUGCAGCCUGCUUGGAAGUAAGUUAAUCUCAUGAAAUUAUCUCAUGUUUUUAAUCUUUGUUAGAGCUCUAUACAUUUUUUUGUUUGAGCAUACCAGUUUCUGUGUCAAGUCAAGUUUACUGCUUGGGAUUCAGAUCUUCUAUUUAGUCUCUGUUGUUUUACUUUUAUUCGUCUCUUUGUCCAAUUGUUAUAAGAUAAAAAAAUAAAAAAAGGUUAUAUAAGAUGCUAGAUUGAGAAUGUCCCAAGUUCUAAAACACCACAUAAUGUUUCGUUUUGUACAAAAGGACCUGAAACACUGAAGGAAGAUGGUACGUAACUUAUUGUUCCUGGAAUCCAUAACUUUACAUCAACAACUUAUUGUUCCUGUAACAACUUAUUCUUCUUCUUGUACCUCUAUAAUGGAUGGCUGGCACCGUGGCGUAGCUAGCUAGGGGUCAAACGGUUCAAUUGAACCCUCUCAGAUUUUGAAAAAGCUUAAUUAGCUAGCCUUAAUGAACAAACAUAAAUUGACAUUUCUUCUUUGAGAAAUCCUUAAUUAAUCUUAAAUAUUCUUCAACACCAAUAGAAUGAAAUAAAAAUUUAUACUAUUAAAAUACUUAAUCUAAUUAAUACAAAUCAUGUAAAUAGUUUCUUACCUUACUAACGUGUACUUUAAUGCUUUGAAUUCCAUUUACGAUUUUUUUUUUCAUUACAAAUAAGCUAAAUGGAAGCAACACAUUAAUGUUUACUAUGCAUUGACACUAUCUCUAGAAAAAGAAAAGGCAACAUAUUUUUCUCAAUAUUUAUCGUGCAUGAAAUUUCAAAAUUUAUUUAAGAUGAUUAUCGUGCUAGCUAGAGAGUGAUUGAAAAUAAAUUUAAUUUAUUAGGUAAUAAAUUUUGACCAUUCUAAAUAACAUUUCUAGCUACGCCACAGAGGGACGGCUACCUGAUCGUGACAUAUCCACCACCAUCACCAUUGAUCACCAACCAUACUUUAUUAUUUACUUUUGUUCUAUAUAUAAAAAACAACACCAACUUUAAAAAACAACACCAACCUUAAAAAUAGAGAUCGGUCGAGCUGGAAGCAGCUUUCCCACAAAGUACAAUAGCAGGUCAAGGCAGGUAGACAGACAUGAUCGAUUUUACAUGAUGGCGCACGCUUGGGGAUUUUCUUCACUGAAACAAUCGGGGCGUGUCACGCAGUAACUACUAGUGGAGUAGCUCCUCCCACCGCCGUAACUAUCAUACACUGGCCUUCCAUAGUAGCCAUCGUACUCUAUGUAUGGUGCUGCCCCACCGUAACCGUACCCAGUUUGGCAAGGACCACCC
rnacentral:lncRNA from 1 species